UUUGAAAUAGAGUGCAUUUUUAUAAACCUGUGGAUUGUUACUGGAACUAAAACCGAUAACCUUAGCUACUAAUGCAGUAUUUAUUUUUCACAUUUUAUCAAGCGUUGAGAGCAUGGUGUACUUUUGCCAGUUUAUUUCUGUGUGUCGCAGCUCGAACAGUCAAGAAAUAAAGGCCUGGAAAUGAUUCUGCAGGAGUCCGGAGUGUUUCUGCUUCAUAUUCAAAGGUUUUGUCUUCUCCAGAUGUUCACUGAUGGACUGGAGUGCUGUGGAUUAUUGUGAUGUUUUUAUCAGACUCUCAUUCUGACGGCACCCAUUCACUGCAGAGUAUAGAACGGUCACUUUAACACAAAGACACAUGGUUACAAACAUAAAAACUUUUAUUUGCAGGGACAGCAGAUACAAUAUCUGACUGAUAUUUGAUGUUGAUUAUAAAAGUAUUAAUGCACAUUGAUUUACACAUCUGUAAUGUUCUGUUGCCAUGCUUCAGUAAACGAAUCCUCAAC